ACACCACCAUCAUCAUCCUGAUUAGUCUUUCAGGAGGAUACGCCUCACUCUGGAAGACGACAAAUCGCCUCUUCCAGCGGUCGCUACAUAUAAGCAGCAUUCAGACCCCCGGAAGAGUAAUCUUCCGGGGGUUUUUCGUU
rfam:Photobacterium halotolerans strain MELD1 scaffold24, whole genome shotgun sequence.